GACGAACGCUGGCGGCGUGCCUAAUACAUGCAAGUCGAACGCUUCUAUGCUCCGCAUUCCUCUCACUCGAUUGGGACGGAGAGGUGCGGAAGGCGUGGUAACACUUCCUUAACCUACGGAACAAAGGGGGAAAACACGUGCAAACAGGGGCUAAUACCGCAUAACGGAUUAUUCCGCAUGGCAUAAGAGUGUAGGGGUCACUCGGAUAUCGCUGCGCGAUGCACCCGCUGGGCAUUAGCUAGUUGGGGAGGUAACGGAUCACCAAGGCAACGAUGCAUAGCCGACCUGAGAGGGGGAUCGGCCACACUGGGACUGAGACACGGCCCAGAAUCCUACGGGAGGCAGCAGUAGGGAAUCUUCGGCAAUGGACGAAAGUCUGACCGAGCAACGCCGCGUGAGUGAAGAAGGUUUUCGGAUCGUAAAACUCUGUUGUUAGAGAAGAACAAGGACGUUAGUAACUGAACGUCCCCCGACGGUAUCUAACCAGAAAGCCACGGCUAACUACGU
rnacentral:rRNA from 1 species